CAGUCUGUAUGAUACUUCUAUGUGUGAAUUUUAUUUUUUGAGAAUAUGUGAUGUUGUAUGGUAGUUACGACUGGGUUUCUUCAUAUUUUUGUCAGCAAUACAUUUAUUAAUGGUUUUGAUUUGUUUAUUGAAGAAACAAGUGCACUCUAGAUAUUUUAUUUUCAUAAAAAUUAUUUUUCAAACCUUCAAAAUAAAAUUACAAAUGUAUAGAUGAAAAAAAUUGAACAAUCGUAUAAACCAACUGUCUGUGUGAGGAGUGAUGAAAACAACCAUAUUUGUACAGUUAAACUUAAUGUAGAGACAGCUAGAAUGGUGAUAAUAUGUGCUUCCAUCUGACAAUUAUAGGCGAAAAUACAUCUGUCAGUAUUGUUCUGUGAUAUAUCAUGUGAUCUAAGUAUGCCACCUGUUAUAGUCAUGUGACCUUCAUUGCAAUUCAUCCAUGUUGUAGUCAUGUGACCUCCAUUGCAAUUUCAUUGACGUUGUAUAAUCAUAGGUUGUCAUAAAUUUUAUUUUGUGAAAAUAAUAAGUAUAUUGUCAUCUCAGAGACCACUAUGAAAAUUUAGAAGACCACACAAUUUUAUGUUAGACAGCAGUCUAUAAAAGAAAAAUAAUUGAUGAUGUAAAGAGUGUAGAAGUUAAAUUUUUGAAAUUUACUAUCUAUAAAUCGUUCUUUGUGAACCAUAGAAAUGAAUUUUCAUGUAGUAAACAAACACAACAAUAUGUUUCUUACAGAACCAUUAAGGAACUUUCAAGGUUAAUUUCUAGUAUGAAAUCAUCAAAAUCCAGUGAAGUUUACUUGAUCAGAGACACAAAAGUUGAGACAUACUUGAACUUGACUCAUAGCAUUUAUAAUGUCCUAUAUUUUUAUCUGACAUUGUAUGACUGUAUAUUUUGAGAUCUUGAUAUUUUAAAGACACCAUUACACUGCCACAUAGCUUAUGAAGAAAAAAUUGUCAAAAAUAUCUGUAAUUAAUAACUGUAUGCAUGCUUUUUUACCUCAUUUAUAGAAAAUGCAUAAUGUAUACAUUGUCAUAAUUAGAUUUUUAUUUCAUUAUGUAGAUAUUAGUAUGGAUAACAUUUGGUUUUAACUGACAAUAACACUUGACCAUAAAAACGUUAAACAACUACAUAUUUUUACAUUUGAAUACAGGUACUGACAUGCAUUCUUAAAAUUAACAACUUGUAGUGCAUUUAUAGUACUAAGAAUAUUCUUUAGCAUGAUUAUAUUUACUAUCCCAGUGCAAAAUGAACUUGGUGUUUUGGCUAUAUUAGGUAUUUAUAAUACUGUGGAUUCAUUUAUUUUCGUGGGUACCAAUUUUCGUGGAUUGAGGAAAACUUGCAUUUUCGUGGAUAUUUGAUUUCGUGGUUUUCCAAAAGUCUCCAUUUAAUCAUACAGCAAAUUUGCAAUUUGUUGAAUAUUUAAAUUCGUGGUUUCCGUGUACCCACAAAAUCCAUGAAAAUUGGUAUCCAACAAAUAAUAAUGAAUCCACAGUAGUAGUUUAUAGAGACAGUUAUCAGUAAUGGAUAUUUUUAAAGUUGACUUGUUGAAGAAGUUUAGCAGUGUCUUACUAUUUUCUUUAAAUUAAGUGUUAUACUGAAUAACCAACAAAAGCUUUCAAGCAGAUGAUAGUUUAUUUGACUCAAUAAUACAAUAUUUUUUUACAAUCUAUGUACCUGGAUAUUGAAUGUACCAUAAUAACAUUUCAAACAUUAUACAUUUAUGAGUAGACCUCAAAUAAACUAUUAGUUACUAAAUAUGUUAUAAUGACUUCCCCUUGACCUUCCCCGUCUUUAUAGGUGACAUAAGUUUACCGUGUGGUCCUUUAAAAAAGCUUAUAAAGAGGGUAUGGAUGGGAGUGUGGGUCUUCAUUUCUGUAUACUUUAUUUUCUUGCCCAUUAUUCUUUCUUUGUUUUUUGCCCAUUAUUCUAUAUUCUAAAUUAUUCAAGCACCCCAUUUUUCUUUAAUUUUUAUUUUGCACAUUUUUCUCUAUUCAUUAUUUCUUUUUUUUUCUGGCCCAUUAUGCUAUCUGUAAACUCAAUCCAGACCCUCUUUUAUGUUAAAUCCAGUUUAAAAUUUAAAUUUGUUUUUAAUAGAAUACCAUUUUAGAUAGGCAAGUACAUGUAGUAAAAGAAAGGUUAAGAAGUCAUCCUUUAAGUGUCCUAAAUACAGGUUGUUCUAAAUUUUUAAAAAUGAAGAUUUUUAUUAUAUUUCUGUUAAAGAUAUAUACACAGCUAGCUUUAUAUAAUCAUAUAUUAAUGUACAGUGUUUAAGAACUUGUAGAAAAUCAUUCGAUCUUAGAUAAUAUUAAUGGGUUUAAAAACAGUUAUGACAAAACCAGGACAAUUUGAAAGACAACCAGCACAAAGUAAGAUUAAAUCACAUUUUUUUAUUUAGAGUGAUAGUAGUAUCCAUAAAAAGGCUCAUUUUCUGAAUUUUAUUCAGAAUCAAACCAAUUGCCAAUUUAAUCAAAAAUGCAUACACUUUAAAUUCAAACUGGAAUGGAUUCCAUGUACCCUUUUCCUGUUCCCUUUUCUGAAAUAAGGAAAUACUACCCAAAAAAACCUCCAUUAGAAAUUUUGUUUUGAUAAAGGAAAUUAAGUGUGACUAGCCUUUUAACAGAUGGACACAUGCACACAGGUUUAAUACAUAUUUCAUAAAUAUCAAACAUGUGUAUCUUAAGCAUGAAUACUUAUAAGAGGUUGUUGCCAUUGACUCUCAAAAAUUUAUCUCGAACAAAAUGUUGAUUGUGAAAUUUGAGGUCAGAUUUGCAUGUUUAUGAACUCUCUAACUAUAUAAAUAUCUCAUCUGAAGGAUAAAACAACAAUUUGCAACUGUUAAUGCUUUAUAUAUUGUUAUAUUUAAGUGGUAUGUUAUCAAAUACAUUUGACUCAUUAUGUUGUAGUUUAUAACUCAUGUUGGUCUUGAUGAUUUAUUUUUUAGCAAUUUAUUUAAAAUAUACAUACACAAAAAUGUGUAUCUGAAAUUUGUAAACAAUAAAACAGAUAAAAUAUUUGUUUUGAUGUUUUCCUAUAUUUGUAUACAGUUCAGGUGGAAUCAAUGAAGUUGAUUACACCAAUAUUAAAGAGCUGCGAGGGAAAGUCAGCCCAUUCAACACCUUAAAAUAUCUGCAAACACCUAAUAACCACAAUGAAGUGUAAAAUCAUACAGCUGCACACUAUAUUUUUGUUUAAAAGGCAGCAAUUUAGAAUGAGAAGACUCAAUGAUCUUGUAAUAGAAGGUAGAUAUACCUUAUAAAUGUAAGUUUUGUGAUUUUAGGAAACAAAUGGUUCUGUUGUACUAUAUUUCAGUGACUAAAGUACAUUAAUCACUUGGGUAUUGAAGGUGUGAUUACUUAGAGUAUAAGUGGUUCUUGUACAUUUGAUUCAAAUUAUUUAUCAAAUUAGAAGAUGUGGUAUGAUUGCCAUAUGACAUUUAUCCAACCAAGACCAAAUGAUGUAGAUGUAAGAAACUAUGGUCUGCAAAUUGACAAAAAAAUAUAAGGACCAUAAGAGCUACAGUUCUGUAGUAGUAGUUGAUCCAAAGUAUUGUGGUGUUGAGUUGUUCUGAGGUGUUGGAGAGAAUAAGCAGUGUCAGGUUCAGUAGUUGGACUAAAGUGUUGUGGUGUUGAUUUUUUCUGAGAUGUUGGAGAGAAUAAGCAGUGUCAGGUUCAGUAGUUGGACUAAAGUGUUGUGGUGUUGAUUUUUUCUGAGAUGUUGGAGAGAAUAAGCAGUGUCAGGUUCAGUAGUUAGACCAAAGUUGUGUGAUGUUAAGUUGUUCUGAGGUGUUGGAGAGAAUAAGCAGUGUCAGGUUCAGUAGUUGAUCCAAAGUAUUGUGGUGUUGAGUUGUUCUGAGGUGUUGGAGAGAAUAAGCAGUGUCAGGUUCAGUAGUUGUACCAGAGUGUUGUGGUGUUGAGGUGUUGGAGAGAAUAAGCAGUGUCAGGUUUAGUAGUUUUACCAGAGUGUUGUGGUGUUGAGUUGUUCUGAGGUGUUGGAGAGAAUAAGCAGUGUCAGGUUUAGUAGUUGGACCAAAGUGUUGUGGUGAUUAGUUUUUCAUAUGUUAGCUGUGAUGAAUGUCAUAUAGUGAGAGUCAAAAGGUGGGGAUUUUUUUGGUUAAAAGUACUUAGACCGUUGGUUUUCCCGUUUAAAUGGUUUUACACUAGUAAUUUUUGGGGCCCUUUAUAGCAUACUGUUCGGUGUGAGCCAAGGCUCCAUGUUGAAGACCGUACUGUGACCUAUAAUGGUUUACUUUUAUAAAUUUUGACUUGGAUGGAGAGUUGUCUCAUUGGCACUCAUUCCACAUCUUCUUAUAUCUAUUAGCAGUGAAUAAGAAUAACACUUGUCUGUUUGGUGCAUCAAAAACUGCUUCUCUUGAUUUACAACAUUUUUAAGUGACGUGGUAAUAUUUGGUCCAUAGAAUUUCUGUUUUAUUUUGUUGUUUAUCAGGUGACAUAUAUCUGUAUGUACAAUUGUAUACAGUAGGAAAAGUUCGCUUUAUAUGAAAUUGCGAAUGAAUGGAAAUACCAGAUAGUACAUUUCGUGGACGCUAGUAUUUUGAUGACUAGAUGAAUGAGUUACCCUGAACUCUGUACAACAGGUGGGUCCAAUUAUUAUUGCUUUCUGAUUGGGUGGUUCUAGAACAUAAAGUGAACCCCAGUCUUUGAGGUGAUUUGGUGUACGAGCAGUUCUAGCAUAGUAAGUUGACCUAAGUUUAGAAGUGACUGAGUGAAUGGUGCUAUCGUAGGUGAACUCCAGCAUUUGAAGAGACUUGAUCUAUGAGUAGUUCAGAAACAGUAGGUAGAACCUAAUAUGUAUGGUGACUUAGGGUAUGAGUGGUUCAGGGACAAAAGUAUAUGUGGUCAUUUUGUAGAUAUGUGAUUCUAAAAUACUAGAUUGACCUCAAUAUUGUUCUGGUGCAGUAUCUAGAGGCCUUUAUUUCCCCCAGUUUUGUAGUGAAUUGGUUAACAUCACCAACACAGUAUUAAGAGAAAUGUGUUUUCUACAUGAGCAGAUUGUUACUUCAUUUCUACGAUAAAUCACAGUUGUCCCUCACCUACAUUAAUAAAAUAUUAAGCUGGAUUCAUGUAGUUUCAAGUAUUGAUCAGUACAUUUCUCGUGUCUUAAUGCGAAAGAAGAAGAGUGUAGGGAAUUCAAAAAUGAUUGCUGAUACUUUGUAUGACACUUUGAACUUAAGAGCCGAAUAUACAUAACCCUGUCUUUUUAUCAAACAUCUGUAAGGUGUUUCGCGGAACCCUUUGUCUCGCCUACGAUUGCUGCUGUCAGUGUAAAAGUGCAAUGUUGACUUAAAAAGUGAGUCAAUUUAUCAGUAAAAUACAGAAUGUUAAAAAAGAUUCAAAUUUUCUCUUUAAAUGCUAUUUCUUGGUCUUGAAGAUUAGCUUCUGUCCAAGUUUCAUAACAAUCCAUGAAGUUUAACAAACUUAUCAUGUCAAAAAAAAUUUAAUC